GCGGCUUAAUUUAACUCAACACAGGAAAACUUACCAGGUCCAGACAUAGUAAGGAUUGACAGAUUGCAGUUCUUUCUUGAUUCUAUGAAUGGUGGUGCAUGGCCGUUCUUAGUUGGUGGAGUGAUUUGUCUGGUUAAUUCCGAUAACGAACGAGAUCUCAGCCGUCCAAAUAGCCGUAACUUGAUCUCGCGGCUUGCCGCAUACUCAAGUUCUUACCUCUGGUGCAUGUAAUUUUGGCUUCUUUGAAGGACAACCUGUUUCCAGGUGGUGGAAGUUUGAGGCUACAACGGGUCUGUGAUGCCCUUAGAUGAUCUGGGCUGCACGCGCGCUACAUUGGUGCAUUCUGAAAGUUCCUUGCUCGUGAUAGCUAUGUAAUCAAUUGAUUGCAUCCAAGUCGGGACAGGCGAGUGCAAUUUUUCACCUCAAAUAAUGAAUAUAUAGUAAACACAAGUCAUGCCCUUGCAUUGACUGCGUCCCUGCCUCUUGUACACACCGCCCGUCGCUUCUACCGAUUGAAUAAUCAGGUGAACUGUGUGG
rnacentral:rRNA from 1 species